rnacentral:rRNA from 1 species
UACGAAGGGGGCUAGCGUUGUUCGGAGUCACGGGGCGUAAAGCGCACGCAGGCGGAUCGAUAAGUCGGGGGUGAAAGCCCGGGGCUCAACCUCGGAAUUGCCUUCGAUACUGUCGGUCUCGAGUCCGGGAGAGGUGAGUGGAAUUCCUAGUGUAGAGGUGAAAUUCGUAGAUAUUAGGAAGAGCACCAGUGGCGAAGGCGGCUCACUGGCCCGGUACUGACGCUCAGGUGCGAAAGCGUGGGGAGCAAACAGG